CUUUCGCCACAUAAACUUAUAUGGGAAAGCCAAUGCUACAAAAAUUCCUUUUCUCACUAUGGCUCUCGAUGGGGAGAAAGCUUUUGACCGAGUUAGCUGGGACUUUAUGAGAACAACUUUAGAGGGUUUAUGGGUUUUUCGGGACGGAUUCUUUAGGCAAUUAUGGCCCUUUAUCCCUCCCCAUCGAGCAGGAUAGUGGGAGAGGGAAUUAGGUCUGAAUGGUUUGAUAUAUAUUAAAUGGCACUCGCCAAGGCUGUCCACUUUCUCCACUCCUCUAUAUCCUAGUGGCCGAACCAUUAGCACAUGAAAUUCAUUCAAAUUCAAAAAUAAGGGGCUUUCAAAUUUAAGAUUAAUCAAUAUGCGG